GGUCAAGCGACUAAGCGCAUACGGUGGAUGCCUUGGCAGUCAGAGGCGAUGAAGGACGUUGUAGCCUGCGUAAAGCUUCGGGGAGUCGGCAAACAGACUUUGAUCCGGAGGUGUCCGAAUGGGAAAACCCACCCAGUGUAAGCUGGGUAUCCCACACUGAAUACAUAGGUGUGAGGAGGCGAACCUGGGGAACUGAAACAUCUAAGUACCCAGAGGAAAAGAAAUCAAUUGAGAUUCCCCUAGUAGCGGCGAGCGAACGGGGAUCAGCCUGCAAGUGAUAUUAUUUGUGUUAGCGGAACGGUCUGGAAAGUCCGGCGAUAGAGGGUGAUAGCCCCGUACGCGAAAACACGAGUGUGGUACUAAGCUUGCGACAAGUAGGUCGGGACACGUGUUAUCUUGACUGAAGAUGGGGGGACCAUCCUCCAAGGCUAAAUACUCCUGACUGACCGAUAGUGAACCAGUACCGUGAGGGAAAGGCGAAAAGAACCCCGGAGAGGGGAGUGAAAUAGAACCUGAAACCGUAUGCGUACAAGCAGUGGGAGCACCUUCGUGGUGUGACUGCGUACCUUUUGUAUAAUGGGUCAGCGACUUACUGUCAGUAGCGAGCUUAACCGAAUAGGGGAGGCGUAGGGAAACCGAGUCUUAAUAGGGCGUAUAGUUUCUGGCAGUAGACCCGAAACCGGGCGAUCUAUCCAUGGCCAGGUUGAAGGUGCCGUAACAGGCACUGGAGGACCGAACCCACGUAUGUUGAAAAAUGCGGGGAUGAGCUGUGGAUCGGAGUGAAAGGCUAAUCAAGCCCGGAGAUAGCUGGUUCUCCUCGAAAACUAUUUAGGUAGUGCGUCGUGUCUUACCCUGGGGGGUAGAGCACUGUUUGGGCUAGGGGGUCAUCCCGACUUACCAACCCCAUGCAAACUCCGAAUACCCAGGAGUACAAUCACGGCAGACAGACGGCGGGUGCUAACGUCCGGCGUCGAGAGGGAAACAACCCAGACCGCCAGCUAAGGUCCCUAAUACCAGUUAAGUGGGAAACGAUGUGGGAAGGCUUAGACAGCUAGGAGGUUGGCUUAGAAGCAGCCAUCCUUUAAAGAAAGCGUAAUAGCUCACUAGUCGAGUCGGCCUGCGCGGAAGAUGUAACGGGGCUAAAUUGGUAACCGAAGCUGCGGAUGCGUGCUUGCACGCAUGGUAGAGGAGCGUUCUGUAAGCCGUUGAAGGUGGAUUGAGAAGUCUGCUGGAGGUAUCAGAAGUGCGAAUGCUGACAUGAGUAACGACAAGGAGGGUGAAAAACCCUCCCGCCGGAAGAUCAAGGUUUCCUACGCAACGCUAAUCGGCGUAGGGUGAGUCGGCCCCUAAGGCGAGGGCGAAAGCCGUAGUCGAUGGGAAACGGGUUAAUAUUCCCGUACUUCUUGCUAUUGCGAUGGAGGGACGGAGAAGGCUAGGUCAUCAGGGCGUUGGUUGUCCCUGUUUAAGGUGGGAGGCUGUGAUCUUAGGUAAAUCCGGGAUCUUAAGGCCGAGAGCUGAUGACGAGGCUCAAUAUGAGCUGAAGUGAUUGAUGCCAUGCUUCCAAGAAAAUCUUCUAAGCUUCAGAUAGUAAGGAACCGUACUGUAAACCGACACAGGUGAUCAGGUUGAGAAUACCAAGGCGCUUGAGAGAACUCGGGUGAAGGAACUAGGCAAAAUGGUACCGUAACUUCGGGAGAAGGUACGCCGGUUCGGGUGAUGAGACUUGCUCUCUGAGCCUGGGCUGGCCGAAGUGACCAGGUGGCUGCGACUGUUUAUUAAAAACAUAGCACUCUGCAAACACGAAAGUGGACGUAUAGGGUGUGACGCCUGCCCGGUGCCGGAAGGUUAAUUGAUGGGGUUAUCUUCGGAGAAGCUCUUGAUCGAAGCCCCGGUAAACGGCGGCCGUAACUAUAACGGUCCUAAGGUAGCGAAAUUCCUUGUCGGGUAAGUUCCGACCUGCACGAAUGGCGUAACGAUGGCCACACUGUCUCCACCCGAGACUCAGUGAAAUUGAAAUCGCUGUUAAGAUGCAGUGUACCCGCGGCUAGACGGAAAGACCCCGUGAACCUUUACUAUAGCUUCACACUGGACUUUGACCUUACUUGUGUAGGAUAGCUGGGAGGCUUUGAAGCGCAGACGCCAGUUUGCGUGGAGCCGACCUUGAAAUACCAGCCUGGUAAUGUUGAGGUUCUAACUUAGGUCCCUUAUCGGGAUUGAGGACAGUGUGUGGUGGGUAGUUUGACUGGGGCGGUCUCCUCCCAAAGAGUAACGGAGGAGCACGAAGGUGCGCUAAUCAUGGUCGGAAAUCAUGAGGUUAGUGUAAAGGCACAAGCGCGCUUGACUGCGAGUCUGACAAGACGAGCAGGUACGAAAGUAGGUCUUAGUGAUCCGGUGGUUCUGAAUGGAAGGGCCAUCGCUCAACGGAUAAAAGGUACUCCGGGGAUAACAGGCUGAUACCGCCCAAGAGUUCACAUCGACGGCGGUGUUUGGCACCUCGAUGUCGGCUCAUCACAUCCUGGGGCUGAAGCCGGUCCCAAGGGUAUGGCUGUUCGCCAUUUAAAGUGGUACGCGAGCUGGGUUUAGAACGUCGUGAGACAGUUCGGUCCCUAUCUGCCGUGGGCGUUGGAGAAUUGAGGGAAGCUGCUCCUAGUACGAGAGGACCGGAGUGGACGAACCUCUGGUGUUCGGGUUGUCACGCCAGUGGCAUUGCCCGGUAGCUAUGUUCGGACAGGAUAACCGCUGAAAGCAUCUAAGCGGGAAGCCCCUCCCAAGAUAAGUUCUCCCUGACCCCUUGAGGGUCCUAAAGGGCCGUAGAAGACUACUACGUUGAUAGGCUGGGUGUGGAAGCGUUGUAAAGCGUUGAGCUAACCAGUACUAAUUGCCCGUGAGGCUUGACCAU
rfam:Gamma proteobacterium IMCC3088 ctg_103, whole genome shotgun sequence.